rnacentral:rRNA from 1 species
AUUGAACGCUGGCGGCAUGCCUUACACAUGCAAGUCGAACGGCAGCAUGAUCUAGCUUGCUAGAUUGAUGGCGAGUGGCGAACGGGUGAGUAAUACAUCGGAACGUGCCCUGUAGUGGGGGAUAACUAGUCGAAAGAUUAGCUAAUACCGCAUACGACCUGAGGGUGAAAGUGGGGGACCGCAAGGCCUCAUGCUAUAGGAGCGGCCGAUGUCUGAUUAGCUAGUAGGUGAGGUAAAGGCUCACCAAGGCGACGAUCAGUAGCUGGUCUGAGAGGACGAUCAGCCACACUGGGACUGAGACACGGCCCAGACUCCUACGGGAGGCAGCAGUGGGGAAUUUUGGACAAUGGGCGAAAGCCUGAUCCAGCAAUGCCGCGUGUGUGAAGAAGGCCUUCGGGUUGUAAAGCACUUUUGUCCGGAAAGAAAUGGCUCUGGUUAAUACCUGGGGUCGAUGACGGUACCGGAAGAAUAAGGACCGGCUAACUACAUG